rnacentral:rRNA from 1 species
CCUACGGGGCGCAGCAGUCGGGAAUAUUGCGCAAUGGAGGCAACUCUGACGCAGUGACGCCGCGUAUAGGAAGAAGGUUUUCGGAUUGUAAACUAUUGUCCUCAGGGAAGAAAAAAGACUGUACCUGAGAAGAAAGCUCCGGCUAACUACGUGCCAGCAGCCGCGGUAAUACGUAGGGAGCAAGCGUUAUCCGGAAUUACUGGGUGUAAAGGGUGCGUAGGCGGGUAAGCAAGUCAGAAGUGAAAUCCAUGGGCUUAACCCAUGAACUGCUUUUGAAACUGUUUAUCUUGAGUGAAGUAGAGGUA